AGAUUGCAGGCACCGCCGGACGCUGGCUCCCGGAGGUUUUAGUUUUCCCUCUACCAGGAGUGUGAAGACACAGAGACUUAUUGCGCUGGCGAAGAUGGCUGAGGCGAAGGCGUGUCCGACUUGUCCUCGGAGUUCUGAGGGUUUCAGUGACCCCAGAAGGCUGAGAAGUGGAAUCCGAACUCGAGGCUGCCCGAAGCCUCGGGCUGUUUGAGUGUAGAGCCGGUAGGGGAGGGCUUUCAAAGUGUGGCCGCGAGGGCGAGCGUGGGGGAUCGGUUAUGAGCUCCCGAGGGCGGGGACUCUGCUCUGUGUCCCCUGAGGAAGUCCAGUCUUGUUAUAAGAUUGUUGGUCCUGGACCCAAGCCAGAAGCCUCUGCAAAGCUUCCUUCCUGACCUGCGGAUAACUAUGACAACUUUGUCCUACCAGAGUUGCCAUCUGUGCCAGACACA
rnacentral:lncRNA from 1 species